GUGGGGAAUCUUGCGCAAUGGGCGAAAGCCUGACGCAGCCAUGCCGCGUGAAUGAUGAAGGUCUUAGGAUUGUAAAAUUCUUUCACCGGGGACGAUAAUGACGGUACCCGGAGAAGAAGCCCCGGCUAACUUCGUGCCAGCAGCCGCGGUAAUACGAAGGGGGCUAGCGUUGCUCGGAAUUACUGGGCGUAAAGGGCGCGUAGGCGGACAGUUUAGUCAGAGGUGAAAGCCCAGGGCUCAACCUUGGAAUUGCCUUUGAUACUGGCUGUCUUGAGUACGGGAGAGGUGAGUGGAACUCCGAGUGUAGAUGUGAAAUUCGUAGAUAUUCGGAAGAACACCAGUGGCGAAGGCGACUCACUGGCCCGUUACUGACGCUGAGGCGCGAAAGCGUGGGGAGCAAACAGGAUUAGAUACCCCAGUAGUCC
rnacentral:rRNA from 1 species